UAUAUAAGUAGGUAAUUUAUAUAACAUCAUAGCAGGUACAGAACUGUGUUCUUGUACAACUUGCAUUUUAAAAAAGUGCUCUUUGUUCACGUAAGGGGUCAUGAAGAUCUUACUUUCGUGUUAUUUUUCUCGGAAGGGUUAUGAUGACUAUAUAAUAAUCAGACAUAGUACGCUAAGGUUGUAUGUCUAAAGGGAAACAGCCCAGAACAAGAGUUAAUAAGGUUCCAAAAUUAUUGUUAAGUGAAAAUAAGGAAGUUUGCAUCCAAUUCGGUCAGGAGAUAGGCUUGGAUGCGGCCAUUUUUUAAAGACCUCGUAACAGAGCACUGGUUUAGUAAAUUAUUUUUAUAGUUUACAUUGAUAAGAGCACCAAAAAUUUAACGGAUCUAAACAAUAUACCGAGACCUUGUCCAUAUUUAUAUAUAUAUCUAAGUUGUAUAUUGUAUUUAUGGGGUAGCGGAACAUUGGGCAAAUCUAAGAUUUUUUCUUUAGAAGACUUAAGAUAAGAUAACCCAAGUGAUAAUGCUGACAUGAGUAACGAUAAAGGGAAUAAACUAUUCCCUCGCCUAAAACUUAUGGUAUUUACUUAAAGUAACGGCCUCUAAGUUUGUGGUCCUAAAGGACUAAACGAUGAGAAAAUCUAUACCCUUAGAUAAAUAACCUUUGAAGUGACAAGGGUUCUGGAAAAUCUAAGGGGAUGCAUCAUGGAUAACAGGGAGGACGCAAUUUCCUGCCUGCUAUGAUGUAAAACCAAGUACCGUACCUAGAAACUACCCCCAGUAAGUUAGUAGAGAAUACGAAGGCGUUUGAGUGAACAAUCAUUAAGG
rnacentral:rRNA from 1 species